rnacentral:rRNA from 1 species
AUUGAACGCUGGCGGCAGGCCUAACACAUGCAAGUCGAGCGGAUGAAGGGAGCUUGCUCCUGGAUUCAGCGUCGGACGGGUGAGUAAUGCCUAGGAAUCUGCCUGGUAGUGGGGGAUAACGUCCGGAAACGGGCGCUAAUACUGCAUACGUCCUGAGGGAGAAAGUGGGGGAUCUUCGGACCUCACGCUCUCAGAUGAGCCUAGGUGGGAUUAGCUAGUUGGUGGGGUAAAGGCCUACCAAGGCGACGAUCCGUAACUGGUCUGCGAGGAUGAUCAGUCACCCUGGAACUGAGACACGGUCCAGACUCCUACGGGAGGCAGCAGUGGGGAAUAUUGGACAAUGGGCGAAAGCCUGAUCCAGCCAUGCCGCGUGUGUGAAGAAGGUCUUCGGAUUGUAAAGCACUUUAAGUUGGGAGGAAGGGCAGUAAGUUAAUACCUUGCUGCUUUGACGGUACCAACAGAAUAAGCACCGGCUAACUUCGUG